UGGUGGUGGUGGUGGUGGAGAAGGGGAGAUGUGUUAUCUGUGGUGGUGGUGGAGGUGGAGGUGGAGGUGGAGAAGGGGAGGUGUUUUAUCUGUGGUGGUGGUGGUGGUGGUGGUGGUGGUGGAGAAGGGGAGAUGUGUUAUCUGUGGUGGUGGUGGUGGUGGAGAAGGGGAGAUGUGUUAUCUGUGGUGGUGGUGGUGGUAGUGGUGGUAGUGGUGGUAGUGGGGGUGGUAGUGGUGGUAGUGGUGGUGGUGGUGGUAGUGGGGGUGGUAAUGGUGGUACUGGUGGUGGUGGUGGUAGUGGGGGUGGUAGUG
ensembl:lncRNA